GUGGGGAAUCUUGCGCAAUGGGCGAAAGCCUGACGCAGCCAUGCCGCGUGAAUGAUGAAGGUCUUAGGAUUGUAAAAUUCUUUCACCGGGGACGAUAAUGACGGUACCCGGAGAAGAAGCCCCGGCUAACUUCGUGCCAGCAGCCGCGGUAAUACGAAGGGGGCUAGCGUUGCUCGGAAUUACUGGGCGUAAAGGGCGCGUAGGCGGACAGUUUAGUCAGAGGUGAAAGCCCAGGGCUCAACCAUGGAAUUGCCUUUGAUACUGGCUGUCUUGAGUACGGGAGAGUUGAGUGGAACUCCGAGUGUAGAGGUGAAAUUCGUAGAUAUUCGGAAGAACACCAGUGGCGAAGGGGACUCACUGGCCCGUUACUGACGAUGAGGCGCGAAAGCGUGGGGAGCAAACAGGAUUAGAUACCCUUGUAGUCC
rnacentral:rRNA from 1 species